GACGAACGCUGGCGGCGUGCCUAAUACAUGCAAGUCGAGCGGACUUUUGGGAGCUUGCUCCCAAAAGUUAGCGGCGGACGGGUGAGUAACACGUGGGCAACCUGCCUAUAAGACUGGGAUAACUUCGGGAAACCGGAGCUAAUACCGGAUAAUUCCUUUCCUCUCAGGAGGGAAGGCUGAAAGUCGGUUUCGGCUGUCACUUAUAGAUUGGCCCGCGGCGCAUCAGCUAGUUGGUGAGGUAACGGCUCACCAAGGCGAAGAUGCGUAGCCGACCUGAGAGGGUGAUCGGCCACACUGGGACUGAGACACGGCCCAGACUCCUACGGGAGGCAGCAGUAGGGAAUCUUCCGCAAUGGACGGAAGUCUGACGGAGCAACGCCGCGUGAGUGAUGAAGGUUUUCGGAUCGUAAAACUCUGUUGUCAGGGAAGAACAAGUACGAGAGUAACUGCUCGUACCUUGACGGUACCUAACCAGAAAGCCACGGCUAACUACGUGCCAGCAGCCGCCGUAA
rnacentral:rRNA from 1 species